CUAAUAAGCAGUUGACCUCAUUCUGUCCAUCAGUCAUAGUGCACGCUAGAAGAGAAGAUAAUAAAGCCAAAAACAGACGUUCCAUCUGUUACAUCUGUGAUGUAAGCUCCCAGAAGUGAAGCAGUUCUUAGGUGACACCAAAAAGCAAUUGACAUCCAGUUGUAUUCUGCAGCACGUGCUGUUCUCUGGGGUUGCAUAAGGAUAAAGGGACUGUGUGCUUGAAAUGCUGACAGCUGUGUUUGACUUUUAAAUCACAGAUGUCAUUAGCAGGUUUUGAAUUCUGUCCUGCUUUAUGAACAGAAGGAUACAGAAGUGAUGUCAGGGGACAGAGUUUGUUCAAACCUGAGGUCCUUAUAUAGACUUGUAUGGGCUAAAAGUCUUAAUUUACUGGAAUCUACAAGCAUCAUGCAUUGAUGAUGGGGCUACUAAAUAUCUAAAUAUUGUACAGGCAUGUGGCUUGGCCAUGCUUUCUGUGAUGUGCUGAUAACACCUGGAAUACCAACAGCAUUUCUGAUUUCUAGAUCUUGAGAAGCUGGAAUUGCGAAGUAGAGAGAAUAGAAGGAGCUGAAGACUACUAGCCAAUAGGAAAUGUUCCUAUUUGAAGUGCUUUUUCUUCUUAAAUUAGCACUGGUUAUGGAGAUUAUUUUGGAUUAACUAGGGCUUUUAUUUUCCUUUGAGUGAUUGUUUUCCUCAUUGAACCUGUUUUUUGUAGUGAUCCUUCUAUCCUUUUCAGGAGCUCAGUGAUGCAGAAAUUGAUCCUUCCAGGACAGAGGCUGUACCAUUCUUAAGGGAGAACGGAUGACAUCUGCUGAACUGGCAGUCCUGCUCUGUGUCCUGCCUGCAUGAAGUUGGACCGGUGUGUGGCAUGGCAGGAAACUGUCCUUGCCUUCUGAAAUUUGCCUUUGGGCACUUCAGCUGUCUUUUUAUUUCAGCUGUCAGCUGUGUGUUUCAGAGCACAGUGAGCCUCAGAGUGCUUGUUCAGAGGAAAAAGGAGGGGAAAAAGCCCACAUCCUGAGACUUGGACUUGAUCUAAAUUUCUAAAAUAUUUACAGAGAACAAAAAGUCCAAUUACAUCAAAGUCGCCUGACAGGCGGGCGGCAGCAGCACGCUUUGCUUAGCUCAUGGGGGGUUUGGUGACUUGGAACGUCUCCCAGUUGGGCUCUCCAGGCUGGGAGAGUUCAGCAGUUGGCAGAGGGGUGAUGCUUACACUGGCAGUAGAUCCAAGAGCUUGGGUUGAGCUGGCGGCACAAAAGGCCCUGCUCCUCUGUUGGCUGGAGGGGUGGCACAUUGCCCCCUGCCUUGCUACAAAGGUCAUUAAGAUGCCAGCCCUUUCCCUGAACUGUUAAACAGAUUGUUGUUGUUGUUCUGCUUUUAGC
ensembl:lncRNA